rnacentral:rRNA from 1 species
CAGCCUAGCCAAGGCGGACGGGUGAGUAACGCGUAAGGAACUUGCCCUGCAGUCAGGGAUAACAGACGGAAACGACUGUUAAGACCUGGUAAAGUCAGGCGGACUCAUGUCCAGCCUGAUGAAAAGAGAUGCUGCAGGAGAGCCUUGCGUCCUAUUAGCUUGUUGGUGGGGUAACGGCCCACCAAGGCGAUGAUAGGUAGCCGGCCUGGGAGGGUGGACGGCCACAAGGGGACUGAGAUACGGCCCUUACUCCUACGGGAGGCAGCAGUGGGGAAUAUUGGACAAUGGGGGCAACCCUGAUCCAGCAAUUCUGUGUGCACGAUGAAGGUUUUCGGAUUGUAAAGUGCUUUCAGCAGGGAAGAAAAAAAUGGCGGUACCUGCAGAAGAAGCGACGGCUAAAUACGUGCCAGCAGCCGCGGUAAUACGUAUGUCGCAAGCGUUAUCCGGAAUUAUUGGGCAUAAAGGACAUCUAGGCGGCCAGAUAAGUCUGGGGUGAAAACUUGCGGCUCAACCGCAAGCCUGCCCUGGAAACUAUGUGGCUAGAGUACUGGAGAGGUGGACGGAACUGCACGAGUAGAGGUGAAAUUCGUAGAUAUGUGCAGGAAUGCCGAUGAUGAAGAUAGUUCACUGGACGGUAACUGACGCUGAAGUGCGAAAGCUAGGGGAGCAAACAGGAUUAGAUACCCUGGUAGUCCUAGCUGUAAACGAUGAUUACUGGGUGUGGGCAUGAAGAGUGUCCGUGCCGAAGCUAAUG